CGACCGGCGCACGGGUGAGUAACACGUAUCCAACCUGCCCUUUACUCGGGGAUAGCCUUUCGAAAGAAAGAUUAAUACAAGAUGGCAUCAUGAGUCCGCAUGUUCACAUGAUUAAAGGUAUUCCGGUAGACGAUGGGGAUGCGUUCCAUUAGAUAGUAGGCGGGGUAACGGCCCACCUAGUCUUCGAUGGAUAGGGGUUCUGAGAGGAAGGUCCCCACAUUGGAACUGAGACACGGUCCAA
rnacentral:rRNA from 1 species